CUGACCGAUAGUGAACCAGUACCGUGAGGGAAAGGCGAAAAGAACCCCGGCGAGGGGAGUGAAACAGAACCUGAAACCGUGUACGUACAAGCAGUGGGAGCCUUCUUUAUGGGGGUGACUGCGUACCUUUUGUAUAAUGGGUCAGCGACUUAUAUUCUGUAGCAAGGUUAACCGUAUAGGGGAGCCGCAGGGAAACCGAGUCUUAACUGGGCGUUAAGUUGCAGGGUAUAGACCCGAAACCCGGUGAUCUAGCCAUGGGCAGGUUGAAGGUUGGGUAACACUAACUGGAGGACCGAACCGACUAAUGUUGAAAAAUUAGCGGAUGACCUGUGGCUGGGGGUGAAAGGCCAAUCAAACCGGGAGAUAGCUGGUUCUCCCCGAAAGCUAUUUAGGUAGCGCCUCGUGAACUCAUCUUCGGGGGUAGAGCACUGUUUCGGCUAGGGGGCCAUCCCGGCUUACCAACCCGAUGCAAACUGCGAAUACCGAAGAAUGUUAUCACGGGAGACACACGGCGGGUGCUAACGUCCGUCGUGAAGAGGGAAACAACCCAGACCGCCAGCUAAGGUCCCAAAGUCAUGGUUAAGUGGGAAACGAUGUGGGAAGGCACAGACAGCCAGGAUGUUGGCUUAGAAGCAGCCAUCAUUUAAAGAAAGCGUAAUAGCUCACUGGUCGAGUCGGCCUGCGCGGAAGAUGUAACGGGGCUAAACCAUGCACCGAAGCUGCGGCAGCGACACUAUGUGUUGUUGGGUAGGGGAGCGUUCUGUAAGCCGUCGAA
rnacentral:rRNA from 1 species